rnacentral:lncRNA from 1 species
UAUUUUUCAAAAGUUGUUUCUCACUCUGUUAUAUUUUCUUAUGCAUUUUUUUCUCUGCAUUUCCUUUGCAUUUUUUUUGCUCUCUUUUUUCUCACUGCAGAGCCACACAUUUAGAUUUAAAUUGCUAUAUUAUUCUCUCCCUAUUUUAAAAUUACAAACAUAAAAUAACAAGCUUUUGCCUCCAAUAGUGGUAUCAGGGCAGUAUUCUUUGAAGGUCUUGAGUU